GAUGAACGCUGGCGGCGUGCCUAAUACAUGCAAGUCGAGCGAACAGACGAGGAGCUUGCUCCUCUGACGUUAGCGGCGGACGGGUGAGUAACACGUGGAUAACCUACCUAUAAGACUGGGAUAACUUCGGGAAACGGGAGCUAAUACCGGAUAAUAUAUUGAACCGCAUGGUUCAAUAGUGAAAGACGGUUUUGCUGUCACUUAUAGAUGGAUCCGCGCCGCAUGAGCUAGUUGGUAAGGUAACGGCUUACCACGGCGACGAUGCGUAGCCGACCUGAGAGGGUGAUCGGCCACACGGGAGCUGAGAAACGGUCCAGACUCCUAAGGGAGGCAGCAGUAGGGAAUCUUCCGCAAUGGGCGAGAGCCUGACGGAGCAACGCCGCGUGAGGGAUGAAGGUCUUCGAAUCGUAAAACUCUGUUAUUAGGGAAGAACAAAUGUGUAAGUAACUAUGCACGUCUUGACGGUACCUAAUCAGAAAGCCACGGCUAACUACGUG
rnacentral:rRNA from 1 species